rnacentral:rRNA from 1 species
UGCAAGUCGACGAUGAAGCCCUUCGGGGUGGAUUAGUGGCGAACGGGUGAGUAACACGUGGGCAAUCUGCCCUGCACUCUGGGACAAGCCCUGGAAACGGGGUCUAAUACCGGAUAUCACUCUUGCAGGCAUCUGUGAGGGUCGAAAGCUCCGGCGGUGCAGGAUGAGCCCGCGGCCUAUCAGCUUGUUGGUGAGGUAAUGGCUCACCAAGGCGACGACGGGUAGCCGGCCUGAGAGGGCGACCGGCCACACUGGGACUGAGACACGGCCCAGACUCCUACGGGAGGCAGCAGUGGGGAAUAUUGCACAAUGGGCGAAAGCCUGAUGCAGCGACGCCGCGUGAGGGAUGACGGCCUUCGGGUUGUAAACCUCUUUCAGCAGGGAAGAAGCGAAAGUGACGGUACCUGCAGAAGAAGCGCCGGCUAACUACGUGCCAGCAGCCGCGGUAAUACGUAGGGCGCAAGCGUUGUCCGGAAUUAUUGGGCGUAAAGAGCUCGUAGGCGGCUUGUCACGUCGGGUGUGAAAGCCCGGGGCUUAACCCCGGGUCUGCAUUCGAUACGGGCUAGCUAGAGUGUGGUAGGGGAGAUCGGAAUUCCUGGUGUAGCGGUGAAAUGCGCAGAUAUCAGGAGGAACACCGGUGGCGAAGGCGGAUCUCUGGGCCAUUACUGACGCUGAGGAGCGAAAGCGUGGGGAGCGAACAGGAUUAGAUACCCUGGUAGUCCACGCCGUAAACGGUGGGAACUAGGUGUUGGCGACAUUCCACGUCGUCG